GAUGAACGCUGGCGGCGUGCCUAAUACAUGCAAGUCGAGCGAACAGACGAGGAGCUUGCUCCUCUGACGUUAGCGGCGGACGGGUGAGUAACACGUGGAUAACCUACCUAUAAGACUGGGAUAACUUCGGGAAACCGGAGCUAAUACCGGAUAAUAUAUUGAACCGCAUGGUUCAAUAGUGAAAGACGGUUUUGCGGGCACGUAUAGAUGGAUCCGCGCCGCAUUAGCUAGUUGGUAAGGUAACGGCUUACCAAGGCAACGAUGCGUAGCCGACCUGAGAGGGUGAUCGGCCACACUGGAACUGAGACACGGUCCAGACUCCUACGGGAGGCAGCAGUAGGGAAUCUUCCGCAAUGGGCGAAAGCCUGACGGAGCAACGCCGCGUGAGUGAUGAAGGUCUUCGGAUCGUAAAACUCUGUUAUUAGGGAAGAACAAAUGUGUAAGUAACUAUGCACAUCUUGACGGUACCUAAUCAGAAAGCCACGGCUAACUACGUG
rnacentral:rRNA from 1 species